rnacentral:lncRNA from 1 species
AAAGAUCAUUUUUCUUAGAAGAGAAAACUGAAGAAAAAUAAGAGUUUGGGAUCAGCAAAGUUGGAAUCAAAAUAUUCUUGCUGAUAAUCCACCCAACAGAGAAUUCGGAUGUAAUACAAUUGGCCAUGAUUUUGGGAGCCACUGUCAUCACUCUACUUUCCCUUGCUGGUAUAUUUAGGCUGCUAGGUGAGCCCAAGCAUGAUGGACUUUGGCAAUCUGCAUGUCUUUGGAAUCAGACUUCUCUUACCUGUAAGCACUAUUCUGAAUCAUGGAAUUAUAGCCUCACAGAACUUAAAGGACUAUUUGCUCCAACUCUUUAGUUUUGCAGAUGAGGAAACUGCUGCUCAUGGACCCCUUGAUAUUUAGAUAAGGGAGUAACUUUAACAAUGC